UUCAGUGCAGAUGUGAAGGUUAACAUUUUCCAGCGGGGUGGUGGUGCAGCGGGGCUGCCGCUGUGUGUGUGUGCACCGGUGGCCUCCCUGGUCUUUGAUGUGGGAGUGGGCACGUUUGAACUGCACAUAAGCACACAGCCAAGACAACGCAGGAGUGGCUUCGGGAGAAGUCUCUGAAUGUCCUUGAGUGAACCAGCCAGACCCCGGACUUGAACCCGAUCGAUCGAACAUCUCUGGAGAUACCUGAAAAUAGAUGUUCAGCGACACUCCCCAUCCAACCUGACAGAGCUUGAGAGGAUCUGCAGAGAAUGGGAGAAACUCCCCAAAUACAGAUCUAUCCGCUGCCUUCGACACUGUGAACCAUCGGAUCCUCCACCGUCACAGAGCUGGGCAUCUCAGGCUUUGCACAAUGUUGGAUUGCAUCCUACCGGACAGGCCGCUAGUACCAGGUAGCGACACAAGUCUCGACAAGACGGAGCUCCUCUUCCUCCCGGGGAAGGCCUGCCUCCACUAAGACCUCUCUCUCCAUCACGGUUGACAACUCCACAGUGUCCACUUCCCAGAAUGCAAAGAGCUUUGGCGUGACCCUGGACAACAAACACUCUGUGGUUCUCUGCAAACAUCAAAGCAGUGACUCACUCCUUUAGGGUCAUGCACCACAACAUCCAUAGAGCACAACCCUACCUCACACAGGAAGCUGCACAGGUCCUAAUCCAGGCACGUCAUCACCAGCCUGGACUAGAAGUUCUCCCAUGUCACACGCUACUCUACACACUCCACUGGCAUCCAGUUGAAACUUUGAAAGUUCUUGAAAUUUUCCGAAUUGACUGACCAUGUAUAAAAGUAAUGAUGGACUGUCAUUUCUUUCUGCUUAUUUGAGCUGUUCUUGCCAUAAUAUGGACUUGAUCUUUUACCAAAUAUGGCUAUCUUCUGUAUACCACCCCUACCUUGUCACAACACAACUGAUUGGCUCAAAUGCAUUAAGAAGGAAAGAAAUUCCACAAAUGAACUUUUAACAAGGUAUACCUAUUAAUUGAAAUGCAUUCCAGGUGACUACCUCAUGAAGCUGGUUGAGAGAAUGCCAAGAGUGUGCAAAGCUGUCAUCAAGGCAAAGGGUGACUACUUUGAAGAAUCUCAAAUCUAAAAUAUACUUUUUUGGUUACUA